GGUGAAAAAUUCGUUAUUUUGAUUCAGUAAUUUUGUUAUUUUGUUGCGAGUCUGAAGGUAUUUUAUUCGUUAUCAUUUAAAUUUUGCGAUCAAAUUUCUCAAUUUGAUCAAUUUUUCAUACGUUUUGUAAUAGUAAUUGUUAUAAAGUGAUACGUUAUUUGUCGAUGUAUUGUGCGAGUUUUUAUACGUAGUGCGUUUCAGUUCCAAUCUAGUUGGGCUUAUUGAUGUUUCCUUUACCUUCAAAACCCAGGAAGUAACUGCGAAUCAACUAUUCGAUUUUCGCAAGAUGAAUGUGGACCAGAAUGCUUAACUAAUCGGAAAAUUUUUCAAGUCCUAAAACCCCCACAUGUCUUACUGGAUUUUUGAUUCCAUAACGUAACAUCAUCAUGAGUGAAGAUUCGUGCAUUAAAGUGGGUGUUAGGAUUCGACCUCAGAUCGCUAGGGAGAUAAUCGAUUCUUGUCGAAUAUGUACGUCGGUAACGCCGGGAGAACCGCAAAUCACCUUGGGUACCGAUAAAUCGUUUACUUACGAUUAUGUAUUCGAUAUGCAAGAUGACCAACAAACCGUGUACGAAAAAUGCGCCGCUCCGUUGGUCAAGGGAUCUUUGGAAGGAUACAAUGCGACCAUUCUCGCUUACGGGCAGACCGGAUCCGGUAAAACGUACACGAUGGGUAGCGGAUUCGAUGUGGAAAUCGAGUCUCAUCAAAUCGGCAUUAUACCGCGAGCGAUUAAUCAGCUAUUCGACGGAAUCCGAUCGGUCACUGAAGAGGCUCUGAUGCAGAAUAAAACGCCGCCUCGGUUCACCAUAUACGCUCAAUUUUUAGAAUUAUAUAACGAAGAUGUGAUAGAUUUAUUCGACACGACCAAAGAUUACACGCUGGCCAAGACUAAAAGCGGCAUUAAAAUACACGAGGACGCCAAACAUUCGAUAUAUUUGAGCGGCGUCACAUCCAAAGCCAUUCAUUCGGCUGAAGAAGCGUUGCAGUGCUUGAGACAAGGAGCUUUGUCCAGAACCACCGCUAGUACCCAGAUGAACGCGCAGUCUUCGAGGAGUCACGCUAUAUUCACUUUGCACAUAGAGCAGAAGAAGAUCAUUAAAUUAGAGAAUGGCGAGUCGCUAAGCGCCGCAAAUGGAUACGAUAACUCGGCCGACGAUUGCGAAACUUUAACAGCCAAAUUCCAUUUCGUCGAUUUAGCCGGAUCGGAACGUUUAAAAAGGACCGGAGCGACCGGCGAUCGUGCCAAAGAAGGAAUAUCGAUCAAUUGCGGCCUUCUAGCUCUCGGCAACGUUAUUUCAGCGCUCGGUGAUAAAUCUAAAAAAGUUUCUCACGUCCCGUACAGAGAUUCUAAACUAACAAGAUUGUUACAAGAUUCUCUCGGAGGUAACAGUCGAACUGUGAUGAUAGCCUGCAUAUCACCUAGUGAUCGUGAUUUUAUGGAAACUCUGAAUACGCUUAUGUACGCAAACCGAGCUCGUAAUAUUCAAAAUAAAGUGGUGCUUAAUCAAGAUAAAUCUUCCAGAACUAUAUUAAUGUUACGUCAGGAAAUACAACAACUUCAAACGCAACUUUUAGAGUACAAACAGGGUAAACGUAUAAUCAACGAAGAUGGCACAGAAACGGUGAACGAUAUGUAUUUGGAGAACACCAUGUUACAAACGGACGUAACAAAUUUACGAAUACGUUUGAAAGCGAUGCAAGAAACUAUAGACGCGUUGAACGUGAAAAACACGCAGUUAUUGACUGAAAAGGCGACCGGAGUUUGGUUAGCAGCCGCUGCGGAAGGAGAAAACGCCGUCGAUCCGAAUAUGACCGAGAUGAUACAAGCGUACUUGAAAGAAGUCGAGGAACUCAGAGCGAAACUUUUGGAAUCCGAGUAUCUGUGUUCGCAGCUGCGUAAACAGGUCAACAGACGUUCCAUUCAGGGCGGUAGAAAUAUGAGUUUAUCGAAUUCGCUCAGUAUGGCGGCGCAUUGCGAUAACGAAGACGAAAACGCCGUCGAGUGUUUGUUGGCUGUGGCCAAAAAAGACGUCGAAAAAAAUAAAGAAAUUCUAUCGAGAACGAAAUCGAAUCCGGAUAAUGAAGAUAGUUUCCCAUCCGAAGAAGAAGACAGCGACGAAUCGGAUAGUGAUAUGGACGAAGACGCCGAUAGUGACAAGAAUAGCGAGUAUAGUCAAGAGCUGGCCGAAUUGACCUCCGAAAUUAACGUCAAACAAAAAUUGAUCGACGAAUUGGAAACCGCUCAAAAAAGGAUCAACAGUAUGCGUCAGCAUUACGAAGAUAAACUGCUGCAGUUACAGACGACCAUUAAACAAACUCAGCAAGAGAGAGACGCCGUUUUGUCGUCUUACGGUGCUCAUAGUAAUCAACCUACGGAUAAGCUGAAAAAGAUCAAAGAAGAGUACGAAACAAAAAUCUCCAGUUUAACCAAAGAAUUGAAAAAUUUACAAUCUGCCAAAAAAGAACACGCUAGAUUGCUUCGCGGUCAAACGCAAUACGAAUCGCAAAUUAAAACGCUUAAAGUAGAAGUUUCCGAAAUGAAACGCACUAAGGUAAAACUGAUAAACAAAAUGAAAGAAGAAGCGAACAAGCAUCACGAAGAAGAGCUACGAAGGAAUCGCGAAAUAGCUCAGCUGCGUAAAGAGUCGAGACGUGCUGAAAACCUGAUUCGUUCUUUGGAGACGAAAAACCGUGUCAAGGACGUGGUCUUGAAACGGAAACAAGAAGAGGUCAGCGCCCUAAGAAAAGCCGCCCGCACUAAUAAAAUGAGCAGUAAAGCCGCCGGCAGACCUAAUGAAAUGAAACCUCCAAUCGGAGCUUCGCCCAAAGUAGCCAAACAAAAAUGGCAACAGUUGGAGAAGAAUAUUUCCGACAACACUUUCAACAGACAAUCAAUCGUUUCGUUGGAAAGAGAAUUAGUCAGGUUAAUGGAGAAAAGAAAAACGCUGCACGCCACAUUCCAAGACAAAUCGCGAAAAUUAACCGACCUUAUGGUCAAUCAGCCUCGAAACAAAGCUCAAAAAAGAGAUCUCGAAGAUGAAAUCGAACAAAUACGCGCCAACUUGGAUUAUUACAACGACAGUAUCAAAGAAGUUCAACAAAAUAUUAUCGAAAUAGAAGAAUCUAAGGUGAACUUUGAAACGGGCGAUAUAAUCGCAGGAAUGGGUGUACCGGAGAUUGCGUACAUUGUCGAAAAGCUUUAUAACAUGGUCGUCUACCAUUCCAGUCAAGCUGCUCUGAGAGAAGCUACGUGCAAAGAAAUGGAAGCCAGGUUAACGGAGGUGGAAAAAGAACGUUCAGUAGAACAGCAGUUGAUUAGACAUAUGCUCGAAGUGAGAAAUAAUGAAAGCGAAUUGAAAGUUUUCAACGACGGUGAACGAGGCGGCGGCGACGGAUCGGAAUCGGAGUCAGAAUCUUCGACCCAGUCGGAUUCGCCUCCUGUUUCUACAGCUUCUAAUGAUACUUCAAUCACGACCGUUAUCCGAACGAAUAAUUUACCCGGCGAUAACGUUGGUAAAUUUCGAAGACGAACAGCCGUGCCGGAAGAAUUAUUAUUUUCGCAAACCGCUAGCAAAGCCGAAGUUCAAGAUCAACAGUUUUUACCUGUUAUUAAUAAUCUUAACGUUAAUAAUAAUAUGGAACCCCCUAUUUCCACUAAUUUUAGUAUAAUGAAGGUACCGAGUGCUUCAGCCGUUCUCAAAGGAUUCAACAAACCGGAAGCUAAAUCUCCUCAGUUUUCGCGUAAGACGUACGAUCGCCAGGAAUCCACCUCACCCAAGAUACCGAGGAGAUUAUUUACUAGUAAUAAUACUAAUCUAAUCGGCAAACCAGGUUCAAUGGAUCGCGGUCUAAACAAAAUGACUCCUCCUAACUCUCCGCCGAUUUACAAACGAUUUAACAGCCGAGACGAAAACGUAUUCUCACGACUAACAUCCAGUACGAUACAGCCAAUCGAACGAUGCAACGGUAAAGGAAUCAUCAGCCAAUAUCAAGGCAAGACGACGAUGAAAUCACCUUUAAUUUGCACCCACUUAGCCGAAGGUCACAGCAGAGCGGUACUCGCGUUAUCAGCUACCGACGACGUUUUAUUUAGCGCGUCCAAAGAUAAAACUGUCAAAGUGUGGGAUCUUCACGAAGGCGCCGAAAUGGCUACUUUAACCGGUCAUCCGAAUAGCGUUACGUCCGUACAAUACGAUGAGAAAUCGUGGAUCGCGUAUACGGUCUCGUCUGCCUACAUCAAGGUGUGGGACAUGCGUUAUAAUAAAUGUAUCAAAACUUUAAGUUCCUCGGGAAUAGUGAAUAACAAUUUGAAUUAUAAUUCGACUCAGCUACCGGUGGUCGAAACUCCAAUCACAGAUAUUGCUCUGAAUAACGAUGGUAAAUUGUUAUACGCCGCUUGCGGAGAUAAAGUCAAAAUAUGGGAUCUUAGAAAGUUUGCGAUGUCUGGUAAACUGAGCGGAGGCCAUCAAGCGGCUGUGAUGUGUAUGGCUGUCGGAAAAUUGACCAAUGAAGAAGAUUUGGUCAUCACCGGAUCCAAAGAUCAUUAUAUAAAGAUUUUCGAAGUACCAAAUCAAGGAAUCGGUACAUUUUCAUCAAGAGUCACUUUAGAACCUCCGCAUUAUGAUGGUGUUCAAUCUUUAGCUUUACGAGAUAACGUUCUUUUCUCCGGAUCACGAGAUUACGUCAUUAAAAAAUGGGAUUUGGAUAGCAAAGAAUUAUUAACCUCGAUUAAUAAUGCUCAUCGAGAUUGGGUAUGUGGCCUUGCAUUCGUCCAAAAGCAACCGAUCCUCGUAUCUGUGUGCCGUAGCGGCAUAUUGAAACUGUGGUUCACGGAUACGUGUACUCAAAUUGGUGAAAUGAAAGCUCACGAUUCCUCCAUUAACGCCAUCACCACAAAUUCGUCUCAAAUUUUCACUGCCUCUCAUGGUGGGGAGAUUAAAAUGUGGCGUUUACCCGAUAUGACGAUGUCUACCGGACACUUGUAUCAGUUAACACUUUGAGCAAAAAAACACACAAAAAAACAAAAAACAUUGAAAAAAUCGCAAAAAAGACGUUCUUGCAUGCGGUUUGAAAAGAAGAUGUCGUUGUGUUUAUUAUUCGUAUUUUUCGUUGUUUGGCUGUGAUCAGAACAAUAAAAAUGUGUACGCUUCGUUGAAUUUAGUAGUACGUAAUUACGUAUGAUGUGAUUAAAUACGGCUCGUCGUAUUUUUUUAUGGAAAAAACCGUUAUCGUUUUGUUGUUGCCUUAUAAUACGUUGAUUGUGUGUAUUAAUAUUGUCUGUACAAAUUACUUACGUGUAACAUUAACUACAUUAUGUUCUCUAUCCUGUAUAGCAGUUUCCAUUUGUAACUCCAGCACUAAUAACCGAAUUGUUUUCAUUCAAUUCGACGCUUUUUAUAUCGAUUUACAAUCAAAUCAAAUAUAUUUAUUUUUAAUUAACGUUGUGGUACUUUUUUGUGAUUCAUUUUUGAUAGGACAUACGAUCUAACGACAAUACGAUUAAAAUUUGGAGAUUAAGCAAUAAAGUGGAUUUCGUAUACGCAGAGAAUUCAUGACAAUUGCAAGUACUGAUGCACAUUUUGAAAAUAUUUCCACGCACAGUAAUAACGUUCGUUAUAAGACUAUUAAAGACUUGUUUUGUAUCUAUUGUGUUUAUUAUUAAGUCUUUUUUUUCCGUUCUGUGUAAUUUUUUUUCCAAUUAUGUACAAGAAAAAUUAUGUAUUUACGACUGUGAUACUUGAUUUAUGGAUAGAUGAUAUUUUUAACGUAUGUACUUAUACUUAAUUUUUCUCACUUGAUACCUGCUACUCCUUUAUUUCUUUUUUCACUUUAUAUUUUGUUUCCAGUUGCUUUGACAGCAAAUUUUUAAUGUAGUUGCCUUAGUCCCUUCCUUUUUACCCAAAUCAUCACUUUUCUGAGCAAUUCUUCGAGUUGUCAGAUUAUUUUAUUUUAUCCCCGUGUUUUUUAAAAAUUUAUUUUAAAUUUGUAACCAUUUUCACCUUCAAUAAUGCAUUUACUAUGUCAUUUCAUUUGUAAUUUUAAAACUGAUGUAAUUUGUGUGAUAAUCAAAGAAUGAAUAAAAGUUGAAGUAUUA